rnacentral:rRNA from 1 species
CCUACGGGAUGCAGCAGUGGGGAAUAUUGCACAAUGGGGGAAACCCUGAUGCAGCAACGCCGCGUGAAGGAAGACGGUUUUCGGAUUGUAAACUUCUGUUCUUAGUGAAGAAGAAUGACGGUAGCUAAGGAGCAAGCCACGGCUAACUACGUGCCAGCAGCCGCGGUAAUACGUAGGUGGCAAGCGUUGUCCGGAAUUACUGGGUGUAAAGGGAGCGCAGGCGGGAAGCCAAGUCAGCUGUGAAAACUACGGGCUUAACUUGUAGACUGCAGUUGAAACUGGUUUUCUUGAGUGAAGUAGAGGUUGGCGGAAUUCCGAGUGUAGCGGUGAAAUGCUUAGAGAUCACGAAGAACCCCGAUUGCGAAGGCAGCCUGCCGCAGCGUUACUGACGCUGAAGCUCGAAAGCGCGGGUAUCGAACAGGAUUAGAUACCCUAGUAGUC